rnacentral:rRNA from 1 species
GAGGGUAGCGGAAUUCCUGGUGUAGCAGUGAAAUGCGUAGAGAUCAGGAGGAACAUCCAUGGCGAAGGCAGCUACCUGGACCAACACUGACACUGAGGCACGAAAGCGUGGGGAGCAAACAGGAUUAGAUACCCUGGUAGUCCACGCCCUAAACGAUGCGAACUGG